GACGAAGGAUGCAAGCGUUAUCCGGAUUCAUUGGGUUUAAAGGGAGCGUAGGUGGCCUUAUAAGUCAGUGGUGAAAUCUCUGGGCUUAACCCAGAAAUUGCCAUUGAUACUGUAGGGCUUGAGUACAGUUGCUGUGGGCGGAAUAUGACAUGUAGUGGUGAAAUACAUAGAGAUGUCAUAGAACACCGAUUGCGAAGGCAGCUCACAAAACUGUAACUGACACUGAGGCUCGAAAGCUGGGGAGCAAACAGG
rnacentral:rRNA from 1 species